CUCAUCAUCAUCUCUCUCAUCUCCCACACACACACAUUUUCGAAAUAGCAUAAGGAAAAGAAGAAGAGAGAAAAGAGCUUAGUCUUCCACUUGUGAUCAAGAAUUCCUAAGCAUCCCUUCAACUCAAGUGUUCUAGUAUAGGAUCUUUGGUUAAAGGUUCAAAGGAGGAAAUCAUCCACUUUCUACGGUUUUAAAAUCUUCUUGGGAGAUGUUGUCUAGUAUGGGCUCCUGAAGCCCGAUGAGUUCUGAAGAGGAUGGAAGUCGAGGUUGAGGACUACCCUAUCAUAGAAUAGACACCGUGGAAGAAUUAUUUCCAUACGUACAUAUUUGUAUGUUGACAUAGUUAUUUGAGGAUUGUAAGUUUAGCCUUAGCGUUUGGGUAUAGGAGAGAUACCUAAGCGUGGCGGUAACACCCAGUUUUCUGCUGGUUAGACGCUUCCGCAAUGUAUUGUAUUAUUAGGAAUUUUGUAAUAAAUCCAAGUGGUGAAAAUUGGGGUGUUACACAGCUAAUGCUAUUAAAACCAAAUAUGUUAACCCAAUCAACUAAUAACUAUUUACUUAAUACCUCCAUUAUUCAUUGAAUAAACAACAACCUUGCAAUAUGA